rnacentral:rRNA from 1 species
UACGUAGGGUGCGAGCGUUGUCCGGAAUUAUUGGGCGUAAAGAGCUCGUAGGCGGUUUGUCGCGUCUGCUGUGAAAACUGGAGGCUCAACCUCCAGCCUGCAGUGGGUACGGGCAGACUAGAGUGCGGUAGGGGAGUGUGGAAUUCCUGGUGGAGCGGUGAAAUGCGCAGAUAUCAGGAGGAACACCCGUAGCGAAGGCGGCACUCUGGGCCGAUACUGACACUGAGGAGCGAAAGCGUUGGGGAGCGAACAGG